CAGCUCUCAAAUAUGACACCUGGGCCUGUUGACCCAUUUAUCCAGUUGGCGGGCUGGUCCUGAAAGCUAAAAGUCAGUUCAGGUGAAGUAUGCUGAGAGGAGUCCACUGAUGUCAAGAAAUGACAGGAUGGCAGAUGUAUGGAGGACUAAUCGAAAGUGGCUGACAAUAUUGAAAAGAUAGAUCGAGAUUAAUGAAUGUUCAUGCAAUUUGGAUAAGCUUCAACAGAUCUUUAAAACAUUAUUCAUUCAUUUUGAAACCACAGAUGUUGAAGAAAUGUAAGGAAAUAUAUGAAGGAAAGAGGUAUAUAAAUCAUCCAGAUAUGAAGGCAAAGAACAAGAAGGCACCCUCUUCUAUCCCACAUAGAAAAAUUAGCUGAGUUGGUGGUUGAAUCUUUCCUCUGCACAGGAGAUGGGAAGGCAUUCUUCACUCCACCUAGAAAUAGCAGGUUAGCUAAAGGGGUGCAGGUCAGGUCAUGUGACCCAUAAUUUUCUCCUCCUAACAGCUUACUACGAUUUUUUGCAACAUGUGCCACCAGAGGUAACUAUCUCAGUCUACCUAACAAGAGGGCCAGUCCUGAAAAUAUAAAGAAAAUUCAAAACUGCCCUAUAAAUGUUUACCAGCAGUUCAAAACAAGCCUAAACUAUGAGUGAAAUGGCAAACUGUGCAUUCUGUGGUGCCAUGUUACUGUGGCACCAUAGAAUGCACAGAAUGGUGCCAUGUGUUGAAACCUGAGGACUGGUGAAUAUAAAAACUCCAAGGGGUAAACACUGAGUGAAAGCAGUAUGAUAUUGAUUUAGCAGGACAAAGAUUGGGAGUCAAACAGCUCUGUGAAGUAACUGCUACAAGUACUGUAGUUACCUGCAGCUAGUUCCUUUUUGGACAAUGUAAAUACUGUACAGUACAGUCCUUCAGUUUACUUUUGGCAACAAGUUAUAUGAUUGGUAGUAACAAAGUUAUACCAAAUAGAAUGCAACAGUUGCAAAGCUUUUUUUUAGGCAUAGUGAAUAACAGUGUCUAGUUAUUUUCAAAACUUUCUUUUGAAGGUCAUUUAAAGAGAUUUUUACAGGCAUUCUCAGCUUUUAUGCCAUUCUCUUAUCAAAGUUGCCGCUUCUAUUCUUUUUAAUAUUUCUGUAAAUAUUUCCAAGACACAAUUGAAGAAAAUACAGUAUAUUUCUCUUUAUUCUCUGCCCUGGGUGUAAGGUCAGUGCAACACAUUAACAGUGUACAAUGCAAGGAAUUACUUGCAUGUUUGGAGCAGCGGUAGCAGCAGUGAAAUGGACUCUUUCCACCUUCAGCAUGGAUUGCUCAGAGAACUGUCUUUCUGCCUGGAGAAACUUAGCAAUUCCCUGAGACCUGGCAGUCUUGCAAGAGAUCCUUAUUGUGGCCCAGGAUAUUCAGUCAAGCAAGAAACACUUUGGUGAGGUCAUCCAGAGGUUUUGGCUAGAACAACAUCACUAUGCCGAUGACACCACCUGAUGUUAGAAGACAGUGGAAAAUCAGCCUGUUUCUGGAAUUUUUCAAAGUGGAGUAUAAAUAUUUAAAACAGCUGACAUUUUUCCAUCAUCAAAACUCUUGAAUCAUCUGUUCUUACUUUCCUCAUGAAUUGGAUGUGUUUCUAUUAAAAGUCUGGCACUUUGGGUCAUCUUUAACAGCCACUUCAUUGGCUUGCCUUUGUUUAUUUUGCAGAUUUCUGUGCUCCUUUUUACCAGUUUACUGGCUCAGUUUCUUCCAAGUAAUAAAGUGAUUGACAAUAGCAUUUUCUAAUUUCAACUUGUCUGCUAGUUCAACUUAUGAGAACAGAGGUGGGCAAAUUCCAGCCUUUUAAGAGCCCCAAGGCCAGUUGAGGACACCUCCCCCCAUCAUAGCUAUUA